rnacentral:tRNA from 1 species
GGGAUAUAGCUCAUUAGGUAGAGUGUUACCUCAUAUGCACAAGGCCCUGGGUUCAAUCCCCAGCACCACCA